AUGGCGAAGAUGAUCUUCGAGAGACCACAAGGUUGCUUGCCUAGCAACACAGAGAUCAAUUUGAGGGAGCAACUCAAUGUAAUCACAUUGAGAAGUGGUAAAGAGCUAGAGGAGCCACAUCAAAGAGAAGAGACGGAGGAGGAAACAACAAAUAAGGAGCUGAUUAAUAGCAAAAAUCAGCCAACUCAAGUCUGUCAGUCUCCUAAAUAGCCAGC
rnacentral:lncRNA from 1 species